CAUGAUCAGAUAACACAGGAUGCCAUUUACUCUGCUGGCUUUGUUCCUGGUACAAUUGUGUAUUUUUCAUAUGAUAUACCAAAAGAUGAUGCUUCAGAUGCCAAGUCAGGUCCCUUCCUUCAGGAAGAGAUCAUGUCUUUGAAAGGUUUGGAACUCCUCACUAAGCAUGCAGAGCCUGUUGAGUCUGCACCAGAAACGAUACCAGAGGCAUCACCUCCUGUUGUUCAAGAGAAGAAGCCUGCAGAGAAAAAACCUGUUAA